rnacentral:rRNA from 1 species
AUGCCGUCUGCCGCCUACAGCUCGAAGCUCUGGCGCGCCCAAGCCUCGGAGGCGACCAGGUCGACCUCCCCAAGCUCCUUCGCGCCCUGCUGCCGCUGUCCUUCUGCAGCGCCGCCGUUCGCGUCCGCAGGAGGCCGCCGCUCGCCUCGCCCCUCUGCUGCCGGCGACCGAGGCCGCUGGGGCAUACCCACAGUCGCCCAGCGCCGCCUUGCGCCACUCCUCUCCCUCGCGUGGCCCGAGGACCCUGCUGGCUUCGUUGUAGCGCUUUGCCGCGCCAAGUCCUCGCCGACCUUCCUCUGUGUGCCCGCAAACUCCACCGACUGCGGGUUGUGUGCUUUCCGCUGUCGGAUACGCCAAGUUCGCCCGGUCCAAGACCACCGCAAGUCCCUCUACGCAAAACUGCCAAGUACCUCUACCUAUCGGAUGUCACCAAGUACCACGACGCCUUUGGGAGACCCGUGA